AGUGAACGCUGGCGGUAGGCCUAACACAUGCAAGUCGAACGGCAGCACAGUAAGAGCUUGCUCUUACGGGUGGCGAGUGGCGGACGGGUGAGGAAUACAUCGGAAUCUACUUUUUCGUGGGGGAUAACGUAGGGAAACUUACGCUAAUACCGCAUACGACCUACGGGUGAAAGCAGGGGAUCUUCGGACCUUGCGCGAUUGAAUGAGCCGAUGUCGGAUUAGCUAGUUGGGGGGGUAAAGGCCCACCAAGGCGACGAUCCGUAGCUGGUCUGAGAGGAUGAUCAGCCACACUGGAACUGAGACACGGUCCAGACUCCUACGGGAGGCAGCAGUGGGGAAUGUUGGACAAUGGGCGCAAGCCUGAUCCAGCAGUACCGCGUGGGUGAAGAAGGCCUUCGGGUUGUAAAGCCCUUUUGUUGGGAAAGAAAAGCAGUAGGUUAAUACCCCGCUGUUCUGACGGUACCCAAAGAAUAAGCACCGGCUAACUUCGUG
rnacentral:rRNA from 1 species